ACUCCUACGGGAGGCAGCAGUGGGGAAUAUUGGACAAUGGGCGCAAGCCUGAUCCAGCCAUGCCGCGUGAGUGAUGAAGGCCCGUAGGGUUGUAAAGCUCUUUCGCUGUGAAGAUAAUGACGGUAGCAGGUAAAGAAACCCCGGCUAACUCCGUGCCAGCAGCCGCGGUAAUACGGAGGGGUUAGCGUUGUUCGGAAUUACUGGGCGUAAAGCGCACGUAGGCGGAUCGGAAAGUUGGGGUGAAAUCCCGGGGCUCAACCCCGGAACGGCCUCCAAAACUAUCGGUCUAGAGUUCGAGAGAGGUGAGUGGAAUUCCGAGUGUAGAGGUGAAAUUCGUAGAUAUUCGGAGGAACACCAGUGGCGAAGGCGGCUCACUGGCUCGAUACUGACGCUGAGGUGCGAAAGUGUGGGGAGCAAACAGGAUUAGAUACCCUGGUAGGACAGUG
rnacentral:rRNA from 1 species